GGCUUCUCAGACAUUCAUUCAAGAAUAAUAUGAUUCUACAUUUAAAUAAUUAUUUCUUCCUUUCAUUAAAUUUUAAAGAUGAUCAACUAUUUUCAAUUUUUCCUAUCUUGAAAUCUUCAAAGGAUGAUUUUUUUUCCCUGUGCAAUCCAUACUUGAUAUUCUCAGAAGUCCUCUGCUCAAAGAGGACAUAGAAUCUGGGGCCAACAGUCACAUCUGUGUUCUCCCAGAGGAGUCUGUAUCCUGGGGAUAGUGCUCAGGUUUCAGACUCUACUCAAAGGUCAGCACUAGUUUCCUGAUCAGUCCAAUAUGAAGGAAGGAAGGCUCUACUGACACUUAAUCCUAAGUCCCAUUCCCAUGUCAGGCAUCUUUCACCUGACAUGUGAAUGGGACUUAGGAUCAAGCAUCGAGAGUCUUCUCGUUCAGAGAAGCAAAACUUUCUAACCAAACAAAUGCAAGUCACAGAAUCAGGAGGAUUUUACCUAGAAUCUUCCAUUACACCCAACUUCAGGUGGAAACCUUACACCUUUUUGAACCUCUAUCGGUGCCUGAACAGUGAUGGCCUGUCCUCUCUGCAGAUUUCUCAUCUCAGAUAUCUCUCUGAGCCAACCAAGCUGAUUUAGAUAUGUGGGAAGAGGAACAGGAAAUAAAGAUCCCCCCUAAUUCUGGCAUUAAGGAGCUUACAAAACUGAAUGAAAUGAAAAUGUCUUUUAUUGGAGCCAUGAAAAUACACCACCCACGUCCAUGUCCUCAAAGAAAGUAAAUGAAGAACAUUACAGUGAAUAUCACCUUAUCUGGAGCAAAAUCCACUGGAACCAUACAGUGGUAGGAACACUUAAAUGAACCCUUUGAUUAAUAACUAGACGAUGUGUGUAGGCUAGCAUCAGAGUGAGAAAAUUCCAACAGUCAUUGUCUCAAAAAAGUCUCUCACACUUCAUGAGUUUCCUCUGAAGAAUCUCCCAAGUUCUCACAGUGAAGACCUAUGAAAAUACCUUCACAUUUUCUGGCAGGAAUAGAGAAAAUAGAAACAUUUUGAAAUAUAAUCUGGUUAUUCUCCAUAACAGAAGACUACUCAGCAGAGUUCUAGAGCCUUACCCUACAUGAAGAAAGAGAAAUUGCCCAACUCCAAACCAUUGUAGCCUCCUUAUCUCAUCAAAGGUGUGUAUUGGUGGGGAGAUUGAGGUGCAGGGUUUAGGACUAGAAAUUAUGGCACACAGGACCACUAAAAGAGUGAGAUAUACUCCUAUACCCCACCACCCUGCCACACACACCUUACCAUCAUAUUAACAGGACUACAGUGUGGUAAUGGUUAAAAGAGCUUAUGUUGCACUUACAUGUUGUACUUAAAUGUUCUAAGGAAAUGACCUUGGGGAAAGCUACAGAUACUAGAGGAAAUUGAAGCCUCUGUCAGGUAUAGCCUCAGUAGACAUUUAACAUACCCUAUAUCCUAGUGAGGUUAAUAUAAAUCCUAGCACUAAAAAUCUAUUAACCUCAGUUCCUAUUUCCUAAUACAUCAUGUCUGGCUUUCAAAAACUAUAGAAAAAACCCCAAGUCUUGCUAAAAGACAAGGGGAAAAAUAAACAGUCAGAAUAGACAAAGCAAGCAUCAAAUCCACAAAAGUAUCACAUCAAUUUUGCAAUUAUCAUACAUGAAGCCCUAAAUUCUAUGACUAAUACACUAAAAGCAUUCAUUGAAAAAGCAGGCAACAUGCAAGAACAGAUACAGAAUGUAAAAAAGAGAGAUGAGAAUCAAAAUUAAUUGUUAAAAAUAAAAAACACUAUAACAGAAAUAAGACUGGCUUUGAUGGGCUCAUGAGUGGACUACACAUGGCCAAGGAAAGAAUAAAUAAGUUUGAAUGAAUAUCAAUAGAAGCUUUCCAAAUGAAAGGCAAAGAGAAAAAAAAAUGUUAAAGUCUAAAUCCCCCCAAAAAUUGUAAUACAUUUUGGAAAUUUGUAAAUACGUGGGAGAAGAAAAAGAGAGUAAAGCAGAAGAAAUAUUUGGAGUAAUCAUUUAAGAUUAACAGUAAGAAUUUUUAAAAAAUCAAUGACAAAUUAUCCAUAUAGAUGAAAUUUUAUAUGGAUCCAAUAUAGAUUAAACUGGAAGAUAUCAUGCUAGGUGAAAUAAGCCAGACAUAGAAAGAAAAACACUGUAAUAGCAAACUUAUAUAUGGAAUAUUUUUUAAAAAAUUGAAUACAUAGAAAAAUUGAGAAGGACAGUGGUUACCAAGAGCAGCAGGGGGCUGGGGAAGAAAAUGGGAAGAUAUAGGACAAAGGGUAUUAAAUAUUAUGUUGUAGACCUUAAAUAUAUACAAUUAAAACUAAUAUAAAAAUCACCUAAAUAAAAACUAAAUCCUAUAAGUUCCUGUUUUAAUCACAUAGUAGAAAAAAGGAGACAAUAAAGAGAAGUACAAUGAAUAAUAAACUGUUACAGACAUGGUAGGUAUUAAUCCAAAAGUAUAGAAAAAUCACUUUAAACAUGAAUGAUCUGAAUUCAUCAUUUAAAAGUAAGAAUAUUAGAGUGGAUAAAAAUAAACAAGACUAUCUGUAUGCUAUUUAGAAGAUACCCAUUUUAAAUGGACACAGAAGUAAAGGGAUGCAUAAACAUGUAGCAUGUUAACAGUAAUUUAAAAAGCAGGGGUAGUCAUAGUAAUUUCAGACAAAGCAGACUUUAGAAAGAAGGGAAAUUAGCAAGGAUAAAAAGUGCAUUACAUAAUAGUGAACCCAAAGUUUGAGAUGAAACUAGAAUCUCCACUUCUGCUGGUAUAUGUGUACAGUCAGGUGGGAUCUGCAUAAGCUGCAGACCUCAGCAGCUCACCACCAAUUUCUUGUUUCUGGGUGCUUAUCUUGUGCAUUUGAAGAAUGAAAUCCACAAUUCAUAGACAAGGAUGAGUGAGUAGGAUUUAUUCAAGUGUGACUAGAAACAGAACUCCUGCGGGUGAGAGGGGACCCAAUGGGAGUUGCCACCUGAUAGUGCUAGUCUAGAGCUUUAUAUAGCACUUGGGUCAAUGCUAUUGGUCCAGACUUUUGCUAAUCAGGGUUUGGAAAAAUAGGAAUGCUAUUAAUUAACUGUUGAAACUGAACUUCCAUUCAGGUCCACCCCACUUCCAUUUUCUUGAUGCUCCUUGGGAAACAGAAAGUUGAGAUUCUUGGAUCGUGGAUGUUCCAGGUUCCCAGUUGCAGUGCUUUGUGCAGCCGGCUUCUGCAGUGGGCUUCAGCACUGACCUGAGCGAUCCACCAUGGGGUGACAGGUAUAUACCUAGAAAAGGUAUCACUGGGUCCUAUGGUAACUCUACAUAUGGAAUUUUAAGGAAUUUCCAGAAUGUUUUAUAAAACAACUGUACCAUUUUACAUUUUAACCAGCAGAGUAUGAAACUUCCAUCAAUUUCUCCAUUUUUCCUCAGAGGACACUUGAUUGUGAGAUUUAAUUGAACAGUGAUCAGUCACAUAUGGAAUAUGUUUCUGAAGAAGGCAGAUUUCUCCAGACAGGAAGAUAAAAAGGAUUAGAUGAGGCCAGUUUGGAAUGGGACUUUUGAAUGUUGGUUGCCUUAGAUACCUUGAGAUCCACCUUGAAGAGGGAGAAAAUGAAGACAAGAGCUUGGUGGAUAAAAUAGUAAGUGGAAAAUUUAAUGUGUUGGAAUUGGAAAACAAUGACAAAUUGAGGGCAUAUGCUGGAAGCAUGGGGGGUGGGGUGGGUGAGGUCAAAGGGUGGAAAUUCAGGCUGUCUAUAUUACACCAGAGAGCAGAUUUUAAGAACUGAACUAAAUGGAGGUAAAGGACCUAACAUAAGACAAUAGAGACAUUGAGAGACCAAGUUAUUGGCUGCUGGCUCCUUGAUACUCCACCUUCUGGCCAUCCAAGGAAUUCUACAUAAUGUACAUUAUUUCCGCAACCCUAUGAUUUGGACACUGAAGGGUCAAUGGCAUAAUUCUAGAAGAGAUAGGAUGGUAGAGUGAAGGGCUUUAGUAGACAUGUUUUGUUUUUAUUUUCACACCCAGCAUGCAUGAAUUUUCUGGAGAAAUUACCUCAAAUUCCCUUUAGGAAACACCCUAAAAUUGAACAACAAGGGAAGUUGCCUUCCUCCAGUAAACUACUUUAAAUCUAGGUAUUUACACAAUCUUGAGCAAUAAAAAUAUUACAUGGAGGAUCAUAGUGAGCCCCUAAAUAGCUAUAAUGCUAGUGAAUAGUCUAGGACUCACCACUGCAUCAGGAACUGCAGGUGACCUGGAAAGAUUUACCAAACUCCACCAAACUAAUGAAGGUCAAAGGGGGCACCACUGUCCUAAUAGGUGACCUGUACACACUAAGGUUAAGAUCUUGCAUGUUGUCAAAAAGCAUAAGUGAAAGGAAGGGACCAAGGGCACCUUCCCUAAAGUGAGGAAUGACAUGCUUGACAUCAGCCCUACAGAUACUUUGUGUUCAAAAAACAGCCCUAUAUACAUUUUUGCCUGUGAGCUCUGUAGUCCCCUAAAGAACCUCAGGGAAGUGCUGUCGGGAUAACACUGGAAAAUGGAGGAAGAUGACAGGGCAGGAUGUGGGGAUGAAGGGGCAUGAACUCCUCUUGCACCAACAAAGUCAUUCUUUACUCUCUGUGUGCAUGUUUUUCUUACUUUCCCACUCAUCCUAAGACAUCUU